rnacentral:rRNA from 1 species
AGAGUUUGAUCCUGGCUCAGGAUGAACGCUAGCGGGAGGCUUAACACAUGCAAGUCGAGGGGUAAGUGUAGCAAUACACCAAGACCGGCGGACGGGUGCGUAACGCGUAUGCAACCUGCCUUAUACAGAGGGAUAGCCCGUGGAAACGCGGAUUAACACCCCAUAGUACAUUUGAGCUGCAUGGCUUGGAUGGGAAAACUGAGGUGGUAUAAGAUGGGCAUGCGUCUGAUUAGCUGGUUGGUAGGGUAACGGCCUACCAAGGCGACGAUCAGUAGGGGUUCUGAGAGGAUAAUCCCCCACACUGGUACUGAGACACGGACCAGACUCCUACGGGAGGCAGCAGUGAGGAAUAUUGGUCAAUGGGCGAGAGCCUGAACCAGCCAUUCCGCGUGAAGGAAGAAGGCCUUAUGGGUUGUAAACUUCUUUUCUGUAAGAAGAAUAGUUCCGACGUGUCGGGAUAUGACGGUAUUAUAGGAAUAAGCAUCGGCUAACUCCGUGCCAGCAGCCGCGGUAAUACGGAGGAUGCAAGCGUUAUCCGGAU